GAUGAAGAACGUAGCGAAAUGCGAUAAGUAAUGUGAAUUGCAGAAUUCAGUGAAUCAUCGAAUCUUUGAACGCACAUUGCGCCCGCGAGUAUUCUCGCGGGCAUGCCUGUCCGAGCGUCAUUUCAACCCUCAGGGCCCGCCUGCUUCGGCAGGCGCGGCGCUGGUGUUGGGGAUCGGCCCAACCGCCGUCCCCCAAAUACAGUGGCGGUCUCGCUGCAGCCUCCCCUGCGUAGUAGCAACACUCGCAUGCGGAGCGCGGCGCGGCCACGCCGUAAAACCCCCGACUUUCUGAACGUUGACCUCGGAUCAGGUAGGAAUACCCGCUGAACUUAAGCAUAUCAAUAAGCGGAGGA
rnacentral:misc_RNA from 1 species